CGUAAGGACGCCCCCCCCCGCCGGUAGCCAUCUUCGUGCAUAGGCAAACUUAUUGUAGCUAGACUGUACAAAGUAUAUCAAGAUAUGCCAAAUAUUGAGCUUAACUUCACCUGUUUGAGAGACGGUGUUUCUUUUAGCUUGCAACACCAUGAAAAAAUUACUGAGACACUAGGAAUGCUGUGAACUGAGAAAGUUUGGGACCUUUGGCAUAACUAAAUCCUUCAUUUAACAGUGUUGUGAACCACUUGUCAUGGGAUAACCAAAAUUAAACCUGGAAUCGCAGAAGAAACAAAUUUUUUGAAGAAAUUGGAUGUACUUUUUUAAAAUUUUUCAUUCAACUAAAACUUUGUUAACUGUUUCUUGGUUGUGGUCUUCUCUAAAUUGUAAUCUUUGGCAUUCACUUCCAAAGUAUCCACCACUAAACUUCAUAACAUUUAUUGUGUCUCUUCAUCAUUAAACUUUGAUGAAUUUACAGAGUGUCUUUUGAAAUUAUGUUCUUGAGAAAGGUGCACAUCAUGGAGACAAUCUGACUGGUACAGAGAAAUGAAGAGACAACAUUUUCUUUCCAAAUCUGAGUGGAGAUGAUAGAAGAGGCCCUGGUUAGCAGCUUCAGAUGAUGGAUACAUAAAAAUGGGAGAGAGAAAACAUAUAAGAGUGACUAAUUGUUGAGUUUCCAGGGCUCAAACCAAUCUUGAAUUGGAAUUUCAAGACAUAAAAACCACUGCAGGAACCUGCUGGAGAAACGGCCUCUGGUAUCUCUAUCUGAAAUAUGAUUAUCUUAAGUUCGCAAAGCAUUGUGUCUGCAGUGUGAGUUUGAAAACAACAAUGUUAAGGCAACUUCGCAGCUUCUUAAUCAAGCCCUUCUCCAUCUCUCCGUGUGGUUUUUGGGGUGGUGGAGGUGGAGCCAAAAAAGAGAGGGCAGUUUCCCAGGGCUGAAGAUGCUACCAUGACUCAUAGGAUCUAUGCAAACCCUGUGAGUGAAUUCUGAGGAAGAAGAAUGAGUAAUAUUUUGAUUUUAUUACUGAUGGUAAUAAGAUAGUAUCAUCAGUGUGGUAUAUUCUGAUUACUGAAUUCUAUUCCCUAUUUUCUUCCUGUGGCCAAAUAAAAUUUGUGUGUGUAAGCUAUGAUAUUUAGUGUUGUUAUCUGAUGAGACAGGUUUAGUGGAAAAGUUCAUUUUAAAUAAACAUUAAAAUUGUUUCAGCCUCAGAUUUUUAAUCCAAAUCAUUCCUUUGACACCAGAAGAAUUUUCCUCAGAGUCAACUCCAAAGAUAAAGCUGCCUGUUUUCCUAUUUGCCCAGAAGUAAAGAGGUUGCAAAA
rnacentral:lncRNA from 10 species